rnacentral:lncRNA from 1 species
UCUUCUCCUAAUUUUCUUCUAUUAUUCACAAGCCGGUCAACAUGCCAAUUUGAAGCAAAUAAAUGCACAAGUAGAAAGUAGGAUGCAUCAGAAUGGUCUUUUUAUUUCAGGUUCACCUGUCCUAGAAUGACACAACCCCUAUGUUGAGUUUCCUAAUUCAAAUGCACGUGAUGCAAACAAGCAUUCCUACAAGGGAUCCAGCAUGAGGUUUUGUUAUACUAGGUUUAAAAUUGGGGUUUAUUGUUCUAGACCUGGCUUACCAGAGUGGACAGCUCGAGCCGAGGGCGGGGCGGCGUACCAGUUUCGCCGGCUUUGCAACUUGUCCGAACCUCGUUCUUAAAUUUAGGAUAAGACUCUAACAGAAAAGAAGUUACACGAAGUUCACACUUACCAGAUGAUUUAGAAGACUUAAAGAGAAGAAGAUAUUCGUAACAGCUUAUAUACAAUUCAUAAAAUAUCAAAGCGGUAAAAGCAUUUAGCAUAUUAGGCUCAAACAUGUAGGAAAAUCAGAUAAAUAAAGCCAAUCAGAACAAACAUUCUAAGCUCGAAUUCUUAAACCCUGAACUAAAGUUCUUAGUUUGGAUCCCCAGUAGAGUCGCUAGAGCUGUCACACCUCCUUUUUACAGCACCCGAAGGUGAUAUAAAGGAGCUUCUCCAAUUUAAGUGACAUCAUUCGAAAUGAAAUUGUUUAUUCAUUUUUAUUCAAAGUCGCCACUUGGAAAAUUUUAAUUGGUGUCCCAAGUCACCGAUUUAUUUUAAAU